ensembl:lncRNA
GUCAUUUUGUAGGUUAUGACAAGAACAGCCUGGCAUAUUUGGUGUAUCAUCCAGAUACAAACAAAGUACAAAAACACAGGCUAGUGAAGUUUGUGAGCAAGGCUAUGAUGUUCCAUUUGUGCCAAAAUUAUGUCGACAUGCUGUCUGUCUAUGCUAUGUGUCGUCUCAACUUACUCCUGUCAUCUGUCCUUGUCGUUUGACUUUGUCGUCUUGCGUGUCAAUGCUGCAUGUGUUAUGACUAUGUGUUUUUUCAUUCUGUCGUUGCUAUGCGUCGUUUCCCUCUGUAGUUACUAUGUGUCGUCUUCCAUGUCUAUGCUAUGCGUCUAUGCUAUGCAUCAUUUCCCUCUGUCGUUACUAUGUGUCGUCUUCCAUGUCUAUGCUAUGCGUCGUUACUAUGUGUCGUUUCCCUCUGUCGUUACUAUGUGUCAGAUGAACGGAGGUCUUACGGGUUUGGAACGACAUGAGGGUGAGUCAUUAAUGACAUAAUUUUAAUAUUUGGCUGAACUAACCCUUUAACUUGCAUGGUAAUUUCACACUAGAGGUUGUGUGUUAUAUUACAGGACUAUUGUUUUUCGUUGACAUUUUAAAAUAGCUUCAUUAACAUACCUGCUCAGACAGUGGGUCACAAAUUUGGUUGCUGUUCCGUAACUGCCCUUCAAUCCAUAAUUGCUGUGGUGACCUCCCAUGCUCUGUGGAUAGUGGAUGCCGAUCCCAUGCUUGCUUGAAGAGCUGGAGAUGCAUAUUUAUUCUUGGGAGCAUCACAUAAUGAAGGCAAAUUAUAUCAAGUUCAUUAUCAGGAUUGAGAGCACCGGUGCUGGAGAGAUGUUGGAGUGCGGAGUGAUAGUUGACUGUCACUGCGCAACAAACAUCUCUCCAGAGUCUCUCAAUACGUUGAUUAUGCACGCUGCGUCCAGUGAUGAACCUUUCUAAACAAGAGAAAAGAAAAUUAAGCAAUUAUGAAAUAGGGCUGUGUUUUAUUAUGAUUCUACAUACAGUAUGUAUUUAGAGGAAAAAACAAGUGUUAAAACUGCUAAAAUUACACUAUUCAAGAAAUACCUGACCCUCUAUCUGGAUGCUCAAGCAUAAAGCGUGCCACCUCAACAUUCUCUCCACCUUUAUCACUACGCACUCUUUCAGGUACCCCAAAGAGUUGCACAGCACCAACAAAUGAAGAAAGAACAGUCAAGGCUCUAUUGUUGUCACUUGCAUGCAGGUACAUGAUUUUCCUACUGUACCCAUCUAUCCCCCCAUGGAUCACAAUUCUCCAUCUAAAAAAAAAAGAUAUUAUGAGUAGGUCCAGAAGCUAUUUUAUGCAAUAAAAUGUUCAGAGCAUUAAGGAGUUAGGUCA